rnacentral:precursor_RNA from 1 species
UUACUUUGGUUUCUGACGUCCCUAAAAUUUUUAGACAGUAAGAGUUUCUCCAGGAUCCGAUGGUUCUCUCCGGUAAAUUAACAUUUUAGUGUCAAUAGUCAUUUAUACAUAUUUUUAUUUCACUUUUUGUUUUGUUUAUUGGUUUUCUGGAGCUAAGUGGAGAUUAUAUAGUCGAACAAGAGUGGUUUUAUGCAAGGUAACGCGAGAUAUUAGUGCGGUUCAAUCAAAUAGUCGUCCUCUUAACUCGUGGAGAACGGUGUUGUUCGAUUGAGCCGUGCCAAUAUCACGCGGUAAACCAAAAAUGGCAAAGAUAGUUAUUAUAACCUUAAAGGUAUGUAUCAUUAUCGUUUUAUUGUUUCAAUUUUGAUUAAUGGCUUUGAUAUUUCAUUUUUUUUUU